GCCAGCAGCCAUAUCACUCUGCCACUCACAACUGGCAGCCCACUGGAGCUCAGCAGGUGUGAGCCUGGUCAGUACCUGGAUGGGAGACUCCUGGGAAAAACUAAGGUUGCUGCUGGAA
rnacentral:rRNA from 1 species